rnacentral:sRNA from 1 species
UCAGCAUCAAUAUGGUGACCUCCCAGGAGCGAGGGACCACCAAGUUGCCUAAGGAGGGGUGAACUGGCCCAGGUCAGAAACAGAGCAGGUCAAAACUCCCGUGCUGA